AACGAACGCUGGCGGCAUGCCUAACACAUGCAAGUCGAACGAGACCUUCGGGUCUAGUGGCGCACGGGUGCGUCACGCGUGGGAACCUGCCCUUAGGUUCGGAAUAACUCCCCGAAAGGGGUGCUAAUACCGGAUAAUGUCUUCGGACCAAAGAUUUAUCGCGUUUGUAUGGGCCCGCGUUGGAUUAGCUAGUUGGUAGGGUAAAAGCCUACCAAGGCGACGAUCCAUAGCUGGUCUGAGAGGAUGAUCAGCCACACUGGGAGUGAGACACGGCCCAGACUCCUACGGGAGGCAGCAGUGGGGAAUAUUGGACAAUGGGCGAAAGCCUGAUCCAGCAAGACCGCGUGAGUGAUGAAGGUCUUAGGGUUGUAAAGCUUUUUUAACCGUGAUGAUAAUGACAGUACCGGGAGAAUAAGCCCCGGCUAACUCCGUG
rnacentral:rRNA from 1 species